AUACAUGCAAGUCGAACGAAUCUCUUUUAGAGAUGAGUGGCGAACGGGUGAGUAAUACAUAGGUAACCUGCCCCUGUGCGGGGGAUAACAGGAGGAAACUCCUGCUAAUACCGCAUAGCCAUGAGCACCGCAUGGAGCUCAUGCCAAAUAUCCUUUAUGGGAUAGCGCAGGGAUGGACCUAUGGCGCAUUAGCUUGUUGGCGGGGCAACGGCCCACCAAGGCAACGAUGCGUAGCAGGCCUGAGAGGGCGGACGGCCACAUUGGGACUGAGACACGGCCCAGACUCCUACGGGAGGCAGCAGUAGGGAAUUUUCGGCAAUGGGGGAAACCCUGACCGAGCAACGCCGCGUGAGCGAAGAAGGCCUUCGGGUCGUAAAGCUCUGUUGUAAAGGAAGAACGGCGCAUACAGGAAAUGGUAUGCGAGUGACGGUACUUUACCAGAAAGCCACGGCUAACUACGUGCCAGCAGCCGCGGUAAUACGUAGGUGGCGAGCGUUAUCCGGAAUCAUUGGGCGUAAAGAGGGAGCAGGCGGCCGCAAGGGUCUGUGGUGAAAGACCGAAGCUAAACUUCGGUAAGCCAUGGAAACCGGGCGGCUAGAGUGCGGAAGAGGAUCGUGGAAUUCCAUGUGUAGCGGUGAAAUGCGUAGAUAUAUGGAGGAACACCAGUGGCGAAGGCGACGGUCUGGGCCGCAACUGACGCUCAUUCCCGAAAGCGUGGGGAGCAAAUAGGAUUAGAUACCCUAGUAGUCCACGCCGUAAACGAUGGUCACUAAGUGUCGGGGGUCAAACCCCGGUGCUCC
rnacentral:rRNA from 1 species